GUUUUUGGGAUCAUAAGCAACUGGCACUUGAAUUUCCCUCUCACAGUCUGCUUCUGGGACAGAGGCUCUGGCUACUCUUGACCACUGGUCCAGGAAAGGACGUGAUUGGAUCUUGGGAGCGGUUUCCUCCAUGCUGUUCUCACGAUAGUGCGUGAAUUCCCUCGAGAUAUGAUGGUUUUAUAAACGUAGGUAGUUUCUCCUGCGCUGACACACACACUUCCUGCUGCAGCCUCGUGAAGAAGGCGCCUGCCUCCUUGACAUCUUCCACCAUGAUUGCACGUUUCCUGAGGCCUCCUAGCCAUGCUUCCUGUAAAGCCUGUGGAACGGUCCUGCCCCCUACUGGAAUGAUCUGAGAUCCUCCUUCGAGAACCUCUGAGAGCUGCCAACCAGAAAGGGUCUAUCAAGACAAUCUCUUGCAGACUUCAUCCAUCCACAUGCACAAGGAAGUGAUAAUGAGAUUUCUGCUCAGUGGCUUGGAGAGAAAAAUGACACAAUGAGGAAGGAUGGGGGAAGGCAGAGAGGUGGGUUGGUCGUCAUAUAAUAUUUGAAUCUAUCCUCUUCCCGAGAAUGUGUCUUUUCCCCUGGAAUUCAGGGGAAUAGAGUGUUACUUUUUUAUGGCCAGGAAAACAUUAAUAAAAAAAUGAACCGUCA